GACAGCAGCAAGCCUGAGGUGUGACUCGAACUCAGAAACCAAGAGAUCAAGACCUGAGCUAAAGUCCGAUGCUUAACCAACUGAGCCCCCUAGGUGCCCGGCACAUUUCUAACCAGCCUCCAGGCCGGUCCAGUGCGGCAAGCCCCAAACCACACUCAGGUUGAUAGCCCAAAAUGGUUGGUUAAAAAUACAUGAAUGCAGAUGGCUGUAUGCAAGAAAGUCACAGCUGUUCAACCUGCACAGGUUAAAGCUGAGGUCAAGGGGAAGAGAUAGAAUGUUAUCUGCUGGAGUCUCUGGUCACUGGGACCUCCACCCUGGGGAUUGAAAAAGAGGCAUGAUGCUGUUCAGUUAGCCCUCAGUUCUUCCUUCAGGAGGAUUUAUUCUUAAGG